rnacentral:rRNA from 1 species
CUACGGGAGGCAGCAGUAGGGACAUAUUGGGCAAUGGACGCAAGUCUGACCCAGCCAUGCCGCGUGCAGGAUGAAGGCGUUAUGCGUUGUAAACUGCUUUUAUACAGGAAGAAACGACUACUUGCGAGGAGGCAUUGACGUGUACUGUAUGAAUAAGCACCGGCUACACUCCGUCGCCAGCAGCCGCGGUAAUAGUAA